GGGGAUACUCUAUAUAAGAGGAGGUAAAGGAGAUCUCACAGUGAGGUUAGGAGGAGAUACUUGUUACAAAAGACUGGAAAUCACUAUGUUGCUGUUUUAACUCACCGAGUGAUACUGUUUGCCACUGCAUAAGUUAAGCAGAAAACCACACGAAUGGAUUAUGCGAACCCUUAUCAAGGCUCCAUUCGUGGUACGAACGGGGGGACCCCC